ACUGUGCUCUCUGUAACCUAAGGGGUUUCCCUGGCAGACCCCACAUGGAUGACGCUCUGCACUCCACCUGGCCCUGAAGUAUCUGUGCUCAAGGGGAGUGAGGACCAGAGCUGUAUGUCCAGGCCCUGGGCACACCCCGUGGGAAGCAGCAGGAGGGAAGGGGCAUCCAGGAAAGGGUGCUGGGGAAGCUGGAUAAAGCAGAGGCUCCAGGCCAAAGGCGUGGGGAGAGGGCAGACUGAUGGGGACAUGUCUGGGGGAAAUAAGGACAGACCAGAGCUGGGGGAGCAGAGAGAGAGCUGCCAGGGUCAGAAGGAAGUCUGAGGAGCAGUGGGGAAAAGGGACAGCAGGGAGCUGGCAUGUGGCAGCCAGGUGGGUGGGGGCCCAGGGCUGGGUGCAAAGCCACAAGUUGUCACUGAGCGGCUGGCCUUGGUGUCAGCUUCCUCGGAGAAGCAGCUGCUCCGAGCCCCCCACCCCCACCCCUGCUCUGGGAUGGGGGCAUCUUUUGGUUAUUACCAGGGCAGCUGCUGGAGGAGCAGGAGCAGAGGGUAGCCUGGGGUGUGGGUGGGGGAGGGAAGGAUGGCAGAGAGAGGAGAGACGUUCAGUGGAGCAGUGGUGAAAGGUCAGUGAGGGGAAAAGCAGCCUCGCCACCCUGACCUCAAGUCCUUCCUCAGUUUCCUGAAAUGGGUUCCAACAAAACCUGCGCUGAAGCAGAGUCCUGCUGUGACCUGCCGUGGGGGCUCAGACAACGGCGUGAGUCUCCAUCCACCUGGCCAGGCACCUCCACCUGGCCAGCACCCCCCAGCUCUUAGGCCCCAGUCGGGCUCCGCAUCUGCCAAGCCUUUUGGCCGGCUGGCUUCUCCCUGACAGCACCUGGAGGAGUGACGGGAGCAGGAAUGCCCAAACAUGGAGAAGGGGGAGAAGGCUGGACCGGUCACAGGUUCAAGGGAGCGGAGCGCAUGGAGCUGCGGAAAGGAGGCCGGCGUUGCAGGACGCUGCUGGCAACAGGGACCUUAAGCCAGGCCAUCUAGGAGGGCGGACAAUUCAGAUCGCAAACUCAUCCUAGAAAAAGUGCUACGUACCUCAUUGCUGAAUAUCACUAUGGUCACCUUCGAAGGACUCCCCUUGGGAAGCUGUGCACCGACGCCAGCGCCUAGUCC